CAGAAUUUAAGAAAGCAGGAGUGUUCAGGGGAAAGACCAGUUAACUUUGUUUAGGGACCAUGUUUUUAGAACGUAGAGGAGCCACAAAGUUGACUGUAACUUAACACAGAUAGAGCUGCCUCAGGUAUAUAAGACUGUAUGUAGCUAACCAUGCAGAGAUGUGCAGUUUCUCUCUUCAGAAUGAAAUUGACAGAUUAUUUACAAGUGGGUAGAAGUGAUCACUUGUAAACUUUAUAUUGGAGCACUAUGUAUGUAAGAGUUGCUAUGUUAUCAUUAAAAGGACAUUUACAUCUAUUGCUUGCGCCUGAUCUUGUAUUCUUGUGAGAAACACUCCGUAGCCAAUAACUUAGGCUCAGGCGAGGAUCUCAGUGAAGUAGUAAUUUAUUCGCGAUUGCAAUGGCGGGCGCCCCACAAGCAGGAGAGAGCGCAUCUACUAGUUCCAAAACACAGUUUAUAUACCUUUUGAUGGCAGGACCCUCCCCUGUUUCCCCACUGAGUGGGUAAUCCAGGUUCACAAUCUAUCUGAUGCUUCACAAACAAUGCAUGGCCUUCAGUUGCCGGCCUGUUAAAUUUCAAAUUUCUUUUGACAUUUUUACUGUUUGAAGUGGUAAUGUUUCUUCACUUAUCUGACUUGACUUGACACCGUGAUUUUCACCUAAUUGUCCUAAGGAGACUGGUUGUCUGCAUUUUACUAGGUCGCCUGCUAAACUUUCUUAUCACUGUAAGCAUAUCUCAGUACCACAUUCCCUCCUUCUAAACAAUAAAAAUGUCAAAAGAAAUUUGAAAUUUAACAGGCCGGCAACUGAAGGCCAUGCAUUGUUUGUGAAGCAUCAGAUAGAUUGUGAACCUGGAUUACCCACUCAGUGGGGAAACAGGGGAGGGUCUUGUCAUCAAAAAGUAUAUAAACUGUUUUGGAACUAGUAGAUGUGCUCUCUCCUGCUUGUGGGGCGUCCACCAUUGCAAUCGUGAAUAAAUUACUACUUCACUGAGAUCCUUGCCUGAGC
rnacentral:lncRNA from 1 species